AACCUUCCAGUUCCUCCAGUGACCGUUCCUAAUCUUCCGGUUCCUCCAGUGACCGUUCCAAACCUUCCCGUUCCUCCGGUGAUUCCUCACCUUCCUAACCUUCCAGUUCCUCCAGUGACCGUUCCAAACCUUCCAGUUCCUCCAGUGACAGUUCCUAACCUUCCAAUCCCUCCAGUGCUUAAUCCACCAAGCACAGGAGGGAGUACACCCAAAGGGAGCACACCCAAAGGGAGUACACCUAAAGGUAACUGUCCACCAAAGACUACACCGGUGAAAAACACGUGUCCAAUCGACACUUUGAAAUUGGGUGCUUGUGUUGAUUUGCUUGGAGGAUUGGUACACAUUGGACUUGGUGACCCAACUGCCAACAAAUGUUGUCCUAUUCUUCAAGGACUUGCUGAAAUUGAAGCUGCUGCUUGUCUUUGCACUACUCUUAAGCUAAAGCUUUUGAAUCUUAACAUUUAUGUUCCACUUGCUCUUCAGCUCCUUUUGGCUUGUGGGAAAA
rnacentral:lncRNA from 1 species